rnacentral:tRNA from 1 species
GGCCUCGUUGCUCAGUUGACUAGAGCAUUGGUUGUUUUUAUGCCUUACCCUUGCUGACGUGGGUUCGAAUCCCACCGACGCCU